CAAGGGGAGGGGUUCCUCAGCCCGGAUUGUGAGAGGGUGCAAGCCAGGCAGAGGAACCCCACUGGUGCAUG
rfam:Myotis lucifugus cont2.21047, whole genome shotgun sequence.